CUUGCAACCAGAAUUCCAAGUUCACUUUGGCCAUUAAAAUUCGUCCAAAGAUGAAUUACACGAAAGAAGCACACAAAAAAUUAUCAGUGUUCCCAAAACUCAAUGAACAUUCACUUUUCAAAAUAAAUUAAGAUCACAAUACUAAACACAUGGGAAUGUUAAAUGAUAUUUCUGAAAGCAGGAAGUAGACUUUGGAAAUUUCACAUAGUAGCGAUCAACGGAACAAAUUAAGAGCAUAACAACAUAUCCCAUCACAUGUGGAUCUUUAAAUUCUCACAUUACUAAAAGUUCUCUCAAUGUGGAUUGAAAAGGGUAACACAGGCAGUAAAAGAGAAGAAAAUCAUCACAGGUACCAGGACACUUAUAAUUCACAUGCUUCAAAGCCUGUAAAUCUUGGAUUCUAAUAGUGACAAUAAGCCUUCAAACAGGCACAUAGAUUCACUCUUUUACCCAACACUCCAAAACAAUGAAGGCCUCUCAAAUACUCAUCCAUGUACAGAAACUAAAGAAGAUAAGAAAAAACACAUCAAACAGAUUAUUUAUUUACCAAAAAGACAACUCUCUAAUGUGUCAAACCAGAUUUAGUACACAGAUGUAAUAGCAAAGAAUUGAAACACAACAGGUCAUACAUACUACAUUAAUAACAACUUCAUCCUUCAGUUAUCCUAGCAAGUCACAAAGUCAGAUCUCAUGUUCAUCCUCUUAUUGAAUUUACAACAUGCUUUAGCCAUCGAUUACAUCAAACAUUUCAAACUCAACUAUAAUCUAUCACUAGAUAUAAGGAGCUAUUUGAGGAAACACAUAUAAAGAUAAAUUAAAACUUAAAAUCUGAACAUGAAUUUCAUAUUACAAAUAUAUCUUUCAAAGAGAAAACAAAGAAGAACAUGCUUGCAUUCCAAUGGCCACUCAAAGUUCAAGAGGUACCUGGAUACAUCAAAGAAUAGAGUGAAGUAAGAAAUGCAGCAAGGAAAGGCCAGCAGUAGAAAGAACAACAAUAUCAACUAACAACAGCCCCAAUAUCAAUCCAUAUUUUGAAUCAGAAAACCAGAAAUCCAGAGAAAGUUUUUCUAGAUUCUUGCUAAAGAAAAUCAGAAGAAAUAAAAACCAGUUCCCUAUGAAACAGUGCAGAACUUUUUGGUGUGUUUUUAG
rnacentral:lncRNA from 1 species